rnacentral:rRNA from 1 species
UACGAAGGGGGCUAGCGUUGCUCGGAAUCACUGGGCGUAAAGCGCACGUAGGCGGCUUUUUAAGUCAGGGGUGAAAUCCCGGAGCUCAACUUCGGAAUUGCCUUUGAUACUGUCUGUCUUGAGUCCGGGAGAGGUGAGUGGAAUUCCUAGUGUAGAGGUGAAAUUCGUAGAUAUUAGGAAGAACACCAGUGGCGAAGGCGGCUCACUGGCCCGGUACUGACGCUCAUGUGCGAAAGCGUGGGGAGCAAACAGG